GUGCUCACUUCAGCACAAACAAAAUUGGAACAACACAGGGAAAAUUAGCUUGACCCCCUGUACAAGGAUGACAAGUAGAUUCAUGAAGCAUUUCUUAAUUUU